rnacentral:rRNA from 1 species
UACAGAGACUGCGAGCGUUAUUCGGAUUCACUGGGCGUAAAGGGUGCGCAGGCGGCCAAGUGUGUUAGGCGUGAAAGCCCGGGGCUUAACCUCGGAAUUGCACCUAAAACUACUUGGCUAGAGCAUUGGAGAGGGUAGCGGAAUUCACGGUGUAGCAGUGAAAUGCGUAGAUAUCGUGAGGAACACCAGAGGCGAAGGCGGCUACCUGGACAAUUGCUGACGCUCAGGCACGAAAGCGUGGGGAGCAAAAGGG